rnacentral:siRNA from 1 species
UCCCGCAAGGUGUCACCACCAG